rnacentral:rRNA from 1 species
UGUUUCGGCUAGGGGGUCAUCCCGACUUACCAACCCGAUGCAAACUACGAAUACCGAAGAAUGUUAUCACGGGAGACACACGGCGGGUGCUAACGUCCGUCGUGAAGAGGGAAACAACCCAGACCGCCAGCUAAGGUCCCAAAGUCACAGUUAAGUGGGAAACGAUGUGGGAAGGCACAGACAGCCAGGAUGUUGGCUUAGAAGCAGCCAUCAUUUAAAGAAAGCGUAAUAGCUCACUGGUCGAGUCGGCCUGCGCGGAAGAUGUAACGGGGCUAAACUGUGCACCGAAGCUGCGGCAGCGACACUAUGUGUUGUUGGGUAGGGGAGCGUUCUGUAAGCCUGCGAAGGUGGCCUGUGAGGGUUGCUGGAGGUAUCAGAAGUGCGAAUGCUGACAUAAGUAACGAUAAUGCGGGUGAAAAGCCCGCACGCCGGAAGACCAAGGGUUCCUGUCCAACGUUAAUCGGGGCAGGGUGAGUCGACCCCUAAGGCGAGG